GUUAAGAAAUCGGUCAAAACCUGAUUUGUAAUCAGGGGGUCGCGGGUUCGAACCCUGCCGGGGGCACCA
rnacentral:tRNA from 1 species